GGAACUACAACUCCCAGCAUGCCCCUCUGCGGUGGGCGGGGCCGGAGCCUGCGGGGACUGAGCAUGUGCGGGGGCGCGAGCCGGGGCCGGGCUGCAGGCGCGCGGCCACGGACUUGCAGGAGAAGUUGCAAGGCUGCACCGGGCACGGCUCGGGCUCGCUCGCUCGCUCCCUUUCUCUCCUUCUCUCCCUCUUUUGCUCUCUGGUGCAAGAGGAGGAGCCGCGGCACCGGCCGAGCAGCUGCACUAACGGCGGCGAGAGAUAAAGAAUUCUCUGGGAGUCAGUCGACUUUAUUGAAGUGCAAGUGAAAAGGUUGAUGUGACCUCUUCCCCGCUCCUU
rnacentral:lncRNA from 1 species